rnacentral:rRNA from 1 species
GACGAACGCUGGCGGCGUGCCUAAUACAUGCAAGUAGAACGCAGUUGCGAACGGGUGAGUAACGCGUAGGUAACUGCCUGGUAGCGGGUGAUAACUAUUGGAAACGAUAGCUAACACCGCAUACUACAAGAUGGACCUGAGUUUUAUUAGCUAGUUGGUGGGGUAACGGCUCACCAAGGCAACGAUACAUAGCCGACCUGAGAGGGUGAUCGGCCACACUGUAACUGAGACACGGUCCAGACUCCUACGGGAGGCAGCAGUGGGGAAUAUUGCACAAGGGGCGCAAGCCUGAUGCAGCCAUGCCGCGUGUAUGAAGAAGGCCUUCGGGUUGUAAAGUACUUUCAGCGGGGAGGCGUUACCCGCAGAAGAAGCACCGGCUAACUCCGUGCCAGCCGCCGCGGUAAUUC